rnacentral:rRNA from 1 species
CACAUGCAAGUCGAACGGUAAAGGCCCUAGCUUUUGUGGGGUGCUCGAGUGGCGAACGGGUGAGUAACACGUGAGUAACCUGCCCUUGACUUUGGGAUAACUUCAGGAAACUGGGGCUAAUACCGGAUAGGAGCUCCUGCUGCAUGGUGGGGGUUGGAAAGUUUCGGCGGUUGGGGAUGGACUCGCGGCUUAUCAGCUUGUUGGUGGGAUAGUGGCUUACCAAGGCUUUGACGGGUAGCCGGCCUGAGAGGGUGACCGGCCACAUUGGGACUGAGAUACGGCCCAGACUCCUACGGGAGGCAGCAGUGGGGAAUAUUGCACAAUGGGCGGAAGCCUGAUGCAGCAACGCCGCGUGCGGGAUGACCGCCUUCGGGUUGUAGACCGCUUUCGCCUGUGACGAAGCGUGAGUGACGGUAAUGGGUAAAGAAGCACCGGCUAACUACGUGCCAGCAGCCGCGGUGAUACGUAGGGUGCGAGCGUUGUCCGGAUUUAUUGGGCGUAAAGGGCUCGUAGGUGGUUGAUCGCGUCGGAAGUGUAAUCUUGGGGCUUAACCCUGAGCGUGCUUUCGAUACGGGUUGACUUGAGGAAGGUAGGGGAGAAUGGAAUUCCUGGUGGAGCGGUGGAAUGCGCAGAUAUCAGGAGGAACACCAGUGGCGAAGGCGGUUCUCUGGGCCUUUCCUGACGCUGAGGAGCGAAAGCGUGGGGAGCGAACAGGCUUAGAUACCCUGGUAGUCCACGCUGUAAACGGUGGGUACUAGGUGUGGGGUCCAUUCCACGGGUUCCGUGCCGUAGCU